UGGGGAACAUUGCACAAUGGGCGCAAGCCUGAUGCAGCGACGCCGCGUGGGGGAUGACGGCCUUCGGGUUGUAAACUCCUUUCGCUAGGGACGAAGCUUUUUGUGACGGUACCUAGAUAAGAAGCACCGGCUAACUACGUGCCAGCAGCCGCGGUAAUACGUAGGGUGCGAGCGUUGUCCGGAAUUACUGGGCGUAAAGGGCUCGUAGGUGGUUUGUCGCGUCGUCUGUGAAAUUCCGGGGCUUAACUCCGGGCGUGCAGGCGAUACGGGCAUAACUUGAGUACUGUAGGGGUAACUGGAAUUCCUGGUGUAGCGGUGAAAUGCGCAGAUAUCAGGAGGAACACCGAUGGCGAAGGCAGGUUACUGGGCAGUUACUGACGCUGAGGAGCGAAAGCAUGGGUAGCGAACAGG
rnacentral:rRNA from 1 species